UCAGUCGACUCCUACGGGGAGGCAGCAGUGGGGGAAUAUUGCACAAUGGGCGCAAGCCUGAUGCAGCCAUGCCGCGUGUGUGAAGAAGGCCUUCGGGUUGUAAAGCACUUUCAGUCGUGAGGAAGGUAGUGUAGUUAAUAGCUGCAUUAUUUGACGUUAGCGACAGAAGAAGCACCGGCUAACUCCGUGCCAGCAGCCGCGGUAAUACGGAGGGUGCGAGCGUUAAUCGGAAUUACUGGGCGUAAAGCGCAUGCAGGUGGUUUGUUAAGUCAGAUGUGAAAGACCCGGGGCUCAACCUCGGAAUUGCAUUUGAAACUGGCAGACUAGAGUACUGUAGAGGGGGGUAGGAAUUUCAGGUGUAGCGGUGAAAUGCGUAGAGAUCUGAAGGAAUACCGGUGGCGAAGGCGCCCCCCUCGGACAGAUACUGACACUCAGAUGCGAAAGCGUGGGGAGCAAACAGGAUUAGAUACCCUGGUAG
rnacentral:rRNA from 1 species